CAUGCCUUCAGAAUAACCGAACGACGAACAAAUGUAGUUUGGUUCAGACAGAGGCGCAUAUCAAUUAUAUCAAAUGCUGAAAUCGUUCGAUUUUUCGAAUAGGUUCGACGAUGCGGAACGUGAUCUAGACAUUUUGAUAUUCAUAUUU